rnacentral:lncRNA from 1 species
CUUGGAUAUCCAGGGACAGCUGUAUGUGCUGGUUCACCCCACUGUCAUUGAUAUCUUCCAUCACUGAGAUUCCUUUUCUCCCUGAGAGGAGGAAUGGGCACAGUCAGGACAGCCAGCAACUGUUCCUGCAUCUGCUCAAACCUCUACUUUUAGAAGAUGAACCUCUGGGUCCAGCGAGUGUCUCUUCUUC